rnacentral:snoRNA from 1 species
AAGGCCCUACUUUCAAGGAUCAUUUCUAUAGUAUGUUAGUAGAGAAGUUUUUCUGAUCGUGUAGAGUACCAGAAACCACGAGAAGGUGUAGCGUUCCUUCUUGAGCUCUCGGUGUUGCCUUGCUGCAACUGCUGCUUACCAUUAAUGAUUGUUCUUGUUCUUUUCCUAGAGAGGGUAAGAGGGAAGGAACUGCAGCGUGAGUGGU